GGGGGUGUAGCUCACUGGAAGAGCAUCUGCUCUGCAUGCAGAAUGUCUCAGGUGCCAUCCCUGAAGUCUCUG